AUUGAACGCUGGCGGCAGGCCUAACACAUGCAAGUCGAACGAGUGGCGGACGGGUGAGUAAUGUCUGGGACACUGCCUGAUGGAGGGGGAUAACUACUGGAAACGGUAGCUAAUACCGCAUACCAUCAGAUGUGCCCAGAUGGGAUUAGCUGGUUGGUGGGGUAACGGCUCACCAAGGCGACGAUCCCUAGCUGGGCUGAGAGGAUGACCAGCCACACUGGAACGGGGACACGGUGCAGACUCGUACGGGAGGCAGCAGUGGGGAAUAUUGGAGAGUGGGCGCAAGCCGAAUGCAGCCAUGCCGCGUGGAUGAAGAGGGCCUUCGGGUUGUAAAGUACUUUCAGCGGGGAGGCGUUACCCGCAGAAGAAGCACCGGCUAACUCCGUGCCAGCAGCCGCGGUAAUAC
rnacentral:rRNA from 1 species